UUUUUUUUUUGGUGAUCAUUCUCAGCUACCUGUGCAGUCAGGGUUAGACCACCUCCGAAUGUAGUCAAGCGCCUGCCUAGCAGUCUUUGACAUCUUUCCAUUCAAGGAACAUUGGAAGGUAUUUCCUGCCCACUCCAAAGUGGUCUUGCCUUUGCCUUGGCUAUUGUGUAGACGAUAUGCAAAGCACCUUGCAUAUGCCUUGCACACGCGUGGUUCUUGGGUUUCCCUGGCACAUUUCACACCUAUGCUCCAGUUGACUGCUCACCGGGCUCUUCAGCUGGGGAACAAUGGACAGAAGAACUUCUAAUGAGAGUUCUGUGGAUCACUGCCAUGUGGCCUGUAGGCCCUGCCAGAGGGGCUGCAUGAGGCCUGCAUUCCCCUCCACCCACUGCCACCCACUGCCAGCCACUGUCAGCCUGGCCUCAUUUGGGAAGCCUCCCUGCCUCUCUGAUGGUCACUGCCUGCCCCUUCCUUCCCCACUCAGCCCAGGCUCAGGCCAGUCUCUGGAGGCUUUGUCUCACCACAGAACCAGCUUUCCUCCCAUGUUGCUGCUGCUUUUGCUACUCACCAUUACCCUCCAUUGUCUUUCUAAGAAAAGUUUUGUAAUUUUUAUUAAGUUAUGUUUCUCAUUUUUAUUCCAGAUUUUUUUUAUAAACUUGCCAGAAAAAAUCUAAUCAAAUACUGCUGUAUUAUCUUGUUUUUUUAUAAAGUUAGAGCAUCUCUCUU
rnacentral:lncRNA from 1 species